AGGGCUAUAUCACUUUGAAACACCGAUUCCCGUACAAUCACCGAAAUUAAGUAAAGUCGAGCCUGGUCAGUAGCUAGAUGGAUGACCACUUGGGAAUAACAGGUGAUGUA